CCCACCUUUGACAUGGCAGGAAUCCCGAAGAGAUUUGGGAGUGCUCGAAAGAGAACCUGCACACAGGUGCUGCAUGGCUGUCGUCAGCUCGUGUCGUGAGAUGUUGGGUUAAGUCCCGCAACGAGCGCAACCCUUGCCAUUAGUUGCUACGAAAGGGCACUCUAAUGGGACUGCCGGUGACAAACCGGAGGAAGGUGGGGAUGACGUCAAGUCCUCAUGGCCCUUAUAGGUGGGGCUACACACGUCAUACAAUGGCCGGUACAGAGGGUAGCCAACCCGCGAGGGGGAGCCAAUCCCACAAAGCCGGUCGUAGUCCGGAUCGCAGUCUGCAACUCGACUGCGUGAAGUCGGAAUCGCUAGUAAUCGCGGAUCAGCAUGUCGCGGUGAAUACGUUCCCGGGUCUU
rnacentral:rRNA from 1 species